rnacentral:rRNA from 2 species
UGGUAUUGAUUGGUGCUUGCAUCAUGAUUUACAUUUGAGUGAGUGGCGAACUGGUGAGUAACACGUGGGAAACCUGCCCAGAAGCGGGGGAUAACACCUGGAAACAGAUGCUAAUACCGCAUAACAACUUGGACCGCAUGGUCCGAGCUUGAAAGAUGGCUUCGGCUAUCACUUUUGGAUGGUCCCGCGGCGUAUUAGCUAGAUGGUGGGGUAACGGCUCACCAUGGCAAUGAUACGUAGCCGACCUGAGAGGGUAAUCGGCCACAUUGGGACUGAGACACGGCCCAAACUCCUACGGGAGGCAGCAGUAGGGAAUCUUCCACAAUGGACGAAAGUCUGAUGGAGCAACGCCGCGUGAGUGAAGAAGGGUUUCGGCUCGUAAAACUCUGUUGUUAAAGAAGAACAUAUCUGAGAGUAACUGUUCAGGUAUUGACGGUAUUUAACCAGAAAGCCACGGCUAACUACGUGCCAGCAGCCGCGGUAAUACGUAGGUGGCAAGCGUUGUCCGGGAUUUAUUGGGCGUAAAGCGAGCGCAGGCGGUUUUUUAAGUCUGAUGUGAAAGCCUUCGGCUCAACCGAAGAAGUGCAUCGGAAACUGGGAAACUUGAGUGCAGAAGAGGACAGUGGAACUCCAUGUGUAGCGGUGAAAUGCGUAGAUAUAUGGAAGAACACCAGUGGCGAAGGCGGCUGUCUGGUCUGUAACUGACGCUGAGGCUCGAAAGUAUGGGUAGCAAACAGGAUUAGAUACCCUGGUAGUCCAUACCGUAAACGAUGAAUGCUAAGUGUUGGAGGGUUUCCGCCCUUCAGUGCUGCAGCUAACGCAUUAAGCAUUCCGCCUGGGGAGUACGGCCGCAAGGCUGAAACUCAAAGGAAUUGACGGGGGCCCGCACAAGCGGUGGAGCAUGUGGUUUAAUUCGAAGCUACGCGAAGAACCUUACCAGGUCUUGACAUACUAUGCAAAUCUAAGAGAUUAGACGUUCCCUUCGGGGACAUGGAUACAGGUGGUGCAUGGUUGUCGUCAGCUCGUGUCGUGAGAUGUUGGGUUAAGUCCCGCAACGAGCGCAACCCUUAUUAUCAGUUGCCAGCAUUAAGUUGGGCACUCUGGUGAGACUGCCGGUGACAAACCGGAGGAAGGUGGGGAUGACGUCAAAUCAUCAUGCCCCUUAUGACCUGGGCUACACACGUGCUACAAUGGAUGGUACAACGAGUUGCGAACUCGCGAGAGUAAGCUAAUCUCUUAAAGCCAUUCUCAGUUCGGAUUGUAGGCUGCAACUCGCCUACAUGAAGUCGGAAUCGCUAGUAAUCGCGGAUCAGCAUGCCGCGGUGAAUACGUUCCCGGGCCUUGUACACACCGCCCGUCACACCAUGAGAGUUUGUAACACCCAAAGUCGGUGGGGUAACCUUUUAGGAACCAGCCGCCU